rnacentral:rRNA from 1 species
CGGCGAGUGAAGAGGAAAGAGCUCAAAGUUGGAACCUGUUUGGCUUAGCUAAACCGGAUUGUAAACUGUAGAAGUGUUUUCCAGACACGCCUGGUAAAAAAGUCCUUUGGAACAGGGCAUCAUAGAGGGUGAGAAUCCCGUCUUUGGCCAGAGCUGUUGUCUUUUGUGAUACAUUUUCAAAGAGUCAGGUUGUUUGGGAAUGCAGCCUAAAUUGGGUGGUAAAUCUCACCUAAAGCUAAAUAUUUGCGAGAGACCGAUAGCGAACAAGUACCGUGAGGGAAAGAUGAAAAGAACUUUGAAAAGAGAGUUAAACAGUAUGUGAAAUUGUUAAAAGGGAACCGUUUGGAGCCAGACUGGCUUGACUGUAAUCAAUCUAGGCUUCGGCCUGGAUGCACUUGCGGUUUAUGCCUGCCAACGACAAUUUUUUUUGAGGGAAAAAACUAUUAGGAAUGUGGCCCCCCUCGGGGGGUGUUAUAGCCUUUUAGAAAAUACCUUGAAUUGGAUUGAGGAACGCAGUGAAUGCCUUUAGGCAAGAUUGCUGGGCGCUUUCGCUAAUAAAUGCUAGAAUUUCUGCUUCGGGUGGUGCUAGUGUUUAAAGGAGAAACUCGUCUGGUAUAUUU